CAACGAAACAAUGGAAAUGUUCAACUGCUGUAUAUAACUUACAGUGGUAUCUGAAAACCAUGCAUAUAUUGGUGCCAUGCAUGCAUAUCACUUGAGGCUGUAUGUCACUUUGCGGAUAUUCUAUUUUCCAAGGUAGCGUGUGUAGCAGGCGUUUCGAGACUACUUGCUGCCUUUCAACCGUCAAGUGCGUGUAUGGGUAAAACGAAUAAGGGGGAAAACGGGCUUAAUAAUAAUUUUGACAUCGAUCGAAAGUAGUUGAAUUUGUUUAUUCCUUUUGUAAUAAUCUUCUAAGAC